UAGAACUCUGAAGGGAUCCUAGUACCUGCCCUUGGAAUCAAAUGUUUGCCAUCUUGGCAACCUAGCAACUAGCUGACUGUGCAGGCUUCAUCAACAGCUGAGACUUGGUUGCCAGGGCAACCUGCAGGAAGAGUGAGCCCUUUGGACCAAUGAUAAAAGGUUUUCUCCACUCAACUCGUACCUGUCAUGGGCUGAAUGCUUGUGCUCCCUUGUCAUUGGUCAGGUCUGAAGAAGUCCCACCAAUGGAGAGAAUGGAGACUUCAACUCACCUCCACCCACAGACGCCUUCUUCAAGAACCCUAAAUGCUUUACAGACAUUAUUUCUAAUUAAUCCCCACAACAACCCUGUGAGGUAGGUAUUAC